rnacentral:rRNA from 1 species
GAUGAACGCUGGCGGCGUGCUUAACACAUGCAAGUCGAACGGAAAGGCUCCUGCUUGCAGGGGCACUCGAGUGGCGAACGGGUGAGUAACACGUGGGUGAUCUGCCCUGCACUUCGGGAUAAGCCUGGGAAACUGGGUCUAAUACCGGAUAGGACCAUCGUUUAGUGUCGGUGGUGGAAAGUUUUUUCGGUGUGGGAUGAGCUCGCGGCCUAUCAGCUUGUUGGUGGGGUAAUGGCCUACCAAGGCGUCGACGGGUAGCCGGCCUGAGAGGGUGUACGGCCACAUUGGGACUGAGAUACGGCCCAGACUCCUACGGGAGGCAGCAGUGGGGAAUAUUGCACAAUGGGCGCAAGCCUGAUGCAGCGACGCCGCGUGGGGGAUGACGGCCUUCGGGUUGUAAACUCCUUUCGCCAGGGACGAAGCGAAAGUGACGGUACCUGGAUAAGAAGCACCGGCUAACUACGUG